rnacentral:rRNA from 1 species
UACGGGGGGAGCAAGCGUUGUUCGGAUUUACUGGGCGUAAAGGGCGCGUAGGCGGCGCGGUAAGUCGGGUGUGAAAUCUCGGAGCUUAACUCCGAAACUGCAUUCGAUACUGGCGUGCUUGAGGACUGGAGAGGAGACUGGAAUUUACGGUGUAGCAGUGAAAUGCGUAGAUAUCGUAAGGAAGACCAGUGGCGAAGGCGGGUCUCUGGACAGUUCCUGACACUGAGACACGAAGGCCAGGGGAGCAAACGGG